GAAAGAGGCCUUAAGCAAUAAGGACUGCUAACCCUUACCCCCGUGGUUAAAUCCCCGGCUCUUUC
rnacentral:tRNA from 1 species